rnacentral:rRNA from 1 species
UACAGAGGUCCCAAGCGUUGUUCGGAUUCACUGGGCGUAAAGGGUGCGUAGGCGGUCAGGUAAGUCUGACGUGAAAUCUCCGGGCUCAACCCGGAAACUGCGUUGGAAACUACCUGGCUCGAGGAAUGGAGGGGAGACUGGAAUACUUGGUGUAGCAGUGAAAUGCGUAGAUAUCAAGUGGAACACCAGUGGCGAAGGCGAGUCUCUAGACAUUUCCUGACGCUGAGGCACGAAAGCCAGGGGAG